rnacentral:rRNA from 1 species
GACGAACCGUGCAAACGUUAUUCGGAAUCACUGGGCUUACAGGGUGCGUAGGCGGCUUGUUAAGUAGGGUGUGAAAGCCCCCGGCUCAACUGGGGAGGGUCACGCGAUACUGAUCGACUGGAAGGCAGGAGAGGGUAGUGGAAUUCCCGGUGUAGUGGUGAAAUGCGUAGAUAUCGGGAGGAACACCAGUGGCGAAGGCGACUACCUGGCCUGUUUCUUGACCGCUGAGGCGCGAAAGCUAGGGGAGCAAACGGG